GAUGAACGCUGGCGGCGUGCCUAAUACAUGCGAGUCGAGCGAACGGACGAGAAGCUUGCUUCUCUGAUGUUAGCGGCGGACGGGUGAGUAACACGUAGAUAACCUACCUAUAAGACUGGGAUAACUUCGGGAAACCGGAGCUAAUACCGGAUAAUAUUUUGAACCGCAUGGUUCAAAAGUGAAAGACGGUCUUGCUGUCACUUAUAGAUGGAUCCGCGCUGCAUUAGCUAGUUGGUAAGGUAACGGCUUACCAAGGCAACGAUGCAUAGCCGACCUGAGAGGGUGAUCGGCCACACUGGAACUGAGACACGGUCCAGACUCCUACGGGAGGCAGCAGUAGGGAAUCUUCCGCAAUGGGCGAAAGCCUGACGGAGCAACGCCGCGUGAGUGAUGAAGGUCUUCGGAUCGUAAAACUCUGUUAUUAGGGAAGAACAUAUGUGUAAGUAACUGUGCACAUCUUGACGGUACCUAAUCAGAAAGCCACGGCUAACUACGUG
rnacentral:rRNA from 1 species